CUGGCGGCGUGCCUAAUACAUGCAAGUCGAGCGGACCUGAUGGAGUGCUUGCACUCCUGAUGGUUAGCGGCGGACGGGUGAGUAACACGUAGGCAACCUGCCCGUAAGACCGGGAUAACUACCGGAAACGGUAGCUAAUACCGGAUAAUCAAGUCUCUCGCAUGGGAGGCUUGGGAAAGGCGGAGCAAUCUGUCACUUACGGAUGGGCCUGCGGCGCAUUAGCUAGUUGGUGGGGUAACGGCUCACCAAGGCGACGAUGCGUAGCCGACCUGAGAGGGUGAACGGCCACACUGGGACUGAGACACGGCCCAGACUCCUACGGGAGGCAGCAGUAGGGAAUCUUCCGCAAUGGACGAAAGUCUGACGGAGCAACGCCGCGUGAGUGAUGAAGGUUUUCGGAUCGUAAAGCUCUGUUGCCAGGGAAGAACGUCUUCUGGAGUAACUGCCAGGAGAGUGACGGUACCUGAGAAGAAAGCCCCGGCUAACUACGUGCCAGCAGCCGC
rnacentral:rRNA from 1 species